GUGUGCGACCAUACCAGCACUAGUGCACCAGAUCCCAUCAGAACUCCGCAGUUAAGUGUUCUUGGGCAAGAGUAGUACUGGGAUGGGUGACCUCCACGGAACUCCUCGUGUUGCACCCU